CUCGAUAUGCAACCGCUCAGAAAAGGUAUUAAGAAGCCUGGCUCACCUUUAUGGCGAGUAUCAACACAAUC
rfam:Erysipelotrichaceae bacterium NYT-BL-F16 NODE_80_length_11900_cov_141.747_ID_159, whole genome shotgun sequence.